GGUCGUUAGCGGUGCAUAACCAUAUUGACUAUUGGUAGCUUGUUUGUGCAGCGGAUGACUCAUUUGUUAGGAACGUGUUUUGACGUCAGGUCGUAAACAAACAAGCGUAUACAAAGACAACGACGUAAGCGAAUUUCACUUCGAGCAUCAAUGGAAUACAUUCACAGUUCUCUGGGAAAUCGCAUUCAUCAGUGAUGUUGAAUGAUGUUAUUCUUUAUAUUGCGAAAUUUCGGUAAACUUGUCAAAAACUU